UUCUUUCUUAUAUAUUAUAUUUUCCAAAUUAACUAAAACAUAGAAAAAAUAAUGAACUAUUCUUUAUAUACAAUAAAGUUAUUUAGCUUUAAAUCAUAAUGUAUGCUCAACUAAUUUAUAAAUAUUAUCAAAUAAAUUGCAAAUAAUUUAUAAGUAACAAAUAAUAAAAUAAGACAAGUAAUUUGAAAAUCUAUCAUUUUUAGUAAUUAUUUAGAAACUGCAAAUAUUUGUUUUUAACAAACAAA
rnacentral:lncRNA from 1 species